GUCUAAGUAUAAGCAAUCUAUACAGUGAAACUGCGAAUGGCUCAUUAAAUCAGUUAUCGUUUAUUUGAUAGUACCUUACUACUUGGAUAACCGUGGUAAUUCUAGAGCUAAUACAUGCUAAAAACCCCGACUUCGGAAGGGGUGUAUUUAUUAGAUAAAAAACCAAUGCUCUUCGGGGCUCCUUGGUGAUUCAUGAUAACUUAACGAAUCGCAUGGCCUUGUGCCGGCGAUGGUUCAUUCAAAUUUCUGCCCUAUCAACUUUCGAUGGUAGGAUAGUGGCCUACCAUGGUUUCAACGGGUAACGGGGAAUUAGGGUUCUAUUCCGGAGAGGGAGCCUGAGAAACGGCUACCACAUCCAAGGAAGGCAGCAGGCGCGCAAAUUACCCAAUCCCGACACGGGGAGGUAGUGACAAUAAAUACUGAUACAGGGCUCUUUUGAGUCUUGUAAUUGGAAUGAGUACAAUUUAAAUCCCUUAACGAGGAACAAUUGGAGGGCAAGUCUGGUGCCAGCAGCCGCGGUAAUUCCAGCUCCAAUAGCGUAUAUUAAAGUUGUUGCAGUUAAAAAGCUCGUAGUUGAACCUUGGGCCUGGCUGGCCGGUCCGCCUCACCGCGUGCACUGGUCCGGCCGGGCCUUUCCUCCUGGGGAGCCGCAUGCCCUUCACUGGGUGUGUCGGGGAACCAGGACUUUUACUUUGAAAAAAUUAGAGUGUUCAAAGCAGGCCUAUGCUCGAAUACAUUAGCAUGGAAUAAUAGAAUAGGACGUGUGGUUCUAUUUUGUUGGUUUCUAGGACCGCCGUAAUGAUUAAUAGGGAUAGUCGGGGGCAUCAGUAUUCAAUUGUCAGAGGUGAAAUUCUUGGAUUUAUUGAAGACUAACUACUGCGAAAGCAUUUGCCAAGGAU
rnacentral:rRNA from 1 species